rnacentral:tRNA from 1 species
ACUUAAAUAGUUUAAAAAACAUUGAUUUGUGGUGUCAAAGAUAUAAAUUUAUUUAUUUUAAGUU